rnacentral:rRNA from 1 species
UGGGGAAUAUUGCACAAUGGGCGAAAGCCUGAUGCAGCGACGCCGCGUGCGGGAUGAAGGCCUUCGGGUUGUAAACCGCUUUUAAUUGGGAGCAAGCGAGAGUGAGUGUACCUUUUGAAUAAGCACCGGCUAACUACGUGCCAGCAGCCGCGGUAAUACGUAGGGUGCAAGCGUUAUCCGGAAUUAUUGGGCGUAAAGAGCUCGUAGGCGGUUUGUCACGCCUGGUGUGAAAGUCCAUCGCUUAACGGUGGAUCUGCGCCGGGUACGGGCAGGCUAGAGUGCAGUAGGGGAGAUUGGAAUUCCCGGUGUAACGGUGGAAUGUGUAGAUAUCGGGAAGAACACCAAUGGCGAAGGCAGAUCUCUGGGCUGUUACUGACGCUGAGGAGCGAAAGCAUGGGGAGCGAACAGGAUUAGAUACCCUGGUAGUCCAUGCCGUAAAACGGUGGAUGCUGGAUGUGGGACCCUUCC